AAUUAACCGGCUCUUCGGUCAGUUCGUCAACACUACCCUUUAGGCGCUGCAUCGUAACGUCGUAUGAGCCUGUUGUUAUUCACUCGGUGGUGGAGGUGGAGAUUAGAGAAGCGCUACGCACGGGAGUUCCGGUCCAGAGAGGGAUAUUGGAUCACAUUGAUUCUUCAGAUCCCA